rnacentral:rRNA from 1 species
UACGGAGGGUGCGAGCGUUGUCCGGAAUCACUGGGCGUAAAGGGCGCGUAGGCGGCCGGAGAAGUCGGUGGUGAAAGCUCGGGGCUCAACUCCGAGUCGGCCGCCGAUACUGUUCGGCUCGAGUUUGGUAGAGGCAGAUGGAAUUCCGGGUGUAGCGGUGGAAUGCGUAGAGAUCCGGAAGAACACCGGUGGCGAAGGCGGUCUGCUGGGCCAAGACUGACGCUGAGGCGCGACAGCGUGGGGAGCAAACAGG